rnacentral:rRNA from 1 species
GGUGUGGGUAGAGCGGCGGACGGGUGAGUAACGCGUAGGAAUUUGCCCAGUAGUGGGGGACAACAUGUGGAAACGCAUGCUAAUACCGCAUACGCCCUAAGGGGGAAAGCAGGGGAUCUUCGGACCUUGCGCUAUUGGAGAAGCCUGCGUCGGAUUAGCUAGUUGGUGGGGUAGAGGCCCACCAAGGCGACGAUCCGUAGCUGGUCUGAGAGGAUGAUCAGCCACACUGGGACUGAGACACGGCCCAGACUCCUACGGGAGGCAGCAGUGAGGAAUAUUGGGCAAUGGAGGCAACCCUGAUCCAGCCAUGCCGCGUGUGUGAAGAAGGCCUUAGGGUUGUAAAGCACUUUCAGUAGGGAGGAAAAGUUAGUCGUUAAUAACGGCUAACCCUGACGUUACCUACAGAAGAAGCACCGGCAAACUCCGUGCCAGCAGCCGCGGUAAUACGGAGGGUGCGAGCGUUAAUCGGAAUUACUGGGCGUAAAGCGCACGUAGGCGGCUUUUUAAGCUAGAUGUGAAAGCCCUGGGCUCAACCUGGGAACUGCAUUUAGAACUGGAAGGCUAGAGUAUGGUAGAGGAGUGUGGAAUUUCAGGUGUAGCGGUGAAAUGCGUAGAGAUCUGAAGGAAUACCAGUGGCGAAGGCGGCCUCCUGGACUGAUACUGACACUGAGGGGCGAAAGCGUGGGGAGCAAACAGGAUUAGAUACCCUGGUAGUCCACGCCGUAAACGAUGUCUACUAGCCGUUGGGUUCCUUGAGGGUUUUGUGGCGCAGCUAACGCACUAAGUAGACCGCCUGGGGAGUACGGCCGCAAGGUUAAAACUCAAAUGAAUUGACAGGGGCCCGCACAAGCGGUGGAGCAUGUGGUUUAAUUCGAUCCAACGCGAAGAACCUUACCAGGUCUUGACAUCCUGCGAACUUUCUAGAGAUAGAUUGGUGCCUUCGGGAACGCAGUGACAGGUGCUGCAUGGCUGUCGUCAGCUCGUGUCGUGAAAUGUUGGGUUAAGUCCCGUAACGAGCGCAACCCUUGUCCUUAGUUGCCAGCACGUAAUGGUGGGAACUCUAAGGAGACUGCCGGUGACAAACCGGAGGAAGGUGGGGACGACGUCAAGUCAUCAUGGCCCUUACGACCUGGGCUACACACGUGCUACAAUGGAACGCACAGAGGGCAGCAAACCCGCGAGGGGGAGCGAAUCCCACAAAACGUUUCGU